CUCUGCCCUUCAUGCGUCGCUCCCCCUCGGUAUGUCGGUUUUUUUAGAAAGGAAACAAUAUUACUUCCCCGAUCAUCCCAUCCAAUCACCCUCUCCUCCUGCGAUCCCGCUCCAUCACGUGCACACCCCUCUCCCAUGCUGCAUCCACCUCGCCCACGUCGUUGCUCACCGGCCGAACAACACCAGGCCUCCACGCCCUCCAACAAACACCACACACCGCCGUGCGACGCUGCCUCUAUGCCAACGAACCGUGAGAUGUGACACCAACUCCACGACCUGCCUCGUUGCGCGCCACCGAACUGCGGGAUGCGCCACCACCUUGAUGCCGAUGGAUGCGCCACCGCUGGAUCUUGGAGGGGCCAAUGAGGGCGCCGCUGCUGUCCAUGACGAGCUCUGCGAGGGCAGCGACCUUCCCUAGUGUGAUGGUUGUGAGACUCUGCAAGGACAGGGGCACAAUUGAACUAGACAAGUAUGAUUAGCACUCCUCGGUUCGCUUUUAUACUUUUGUUCCAACUUCAACUGUUAAUCUAAUCUUCCUGCUCUAUUAAGAAAAUUCUAUCUCUGAAUCGAUACA